GAUGAACGCUAGCGGCAGGCCUAACACAUGCAAGUCGAGGGGCAGCACGAUAAAGCUUGCUUUAUUGGUGGCGACCGGCGCACGGGUGCGUAACGCGUAUGCAACCUACCCUGUACUGGGGGAUAACCCGGAGAAAUUCGGACUAACACCCCAUAGUAAUAUACUUUCGCAUGUUAGUAUAUUUAAAGGUUACGGUACAGGAUGGGCAUGCGUCCUAUUAGCUAGAUGGUGAGGUAACGGCUCACCAUGGCGAUGAUAGGUAGGGGGCCUGAGAGGGUGGUCCCCCACACUGGUACUGAGACACGGUCCAGACUCCUACGGGAGGCAGCAGUGAGGAAUAUUGCGCAAUGGGAGAAAUCCUGACGCAGCCACGCCGCGUGAGCGAUGAAGGUCUUCGGAUCGUAAAGCUCUGUGGGGGGAGAAGAAGAAAGCCGGUGAAGAGCCGGCCCUGACGGUAUCCCCUUAGCAAGCACCGGCUAACUCCGUGCCAGCAGCCG
rnacentral:rRNA from 1 species